UCGAACGAGAAAGUGGAGCAAUCCAUGAGUAAAGUGGCGCACGGGUGAGUAACACGUGACUAACCUACCCUGGAGUGGGGGAUAACUGAGGGAAACCUUAGCUAAUACCGCAUAACACCUACGGGUCAAAGGAGCAAUUCGCUUCAGGAGGGGGUCGCGGCCGAUUAGUUAGUUGGCAGGGUAAUGGCCUACCAAGACGAUGAUCGGUAUCCGGCCUGAGAGGGCGCACGGACACACUGGAACUGAAACACGGUCCAGACUCCUACGGGAGGCAGCAGUGGGGAAUUUUGCGCAAUGGGGGAAACCCUGACGCAGCAACGCCGCGUGGAGGAUGAAGUCCUUCGGGACGUAAACUCCUUUCGAUCGGGACGAUUAUGACGGUACCGAGAGAAGAAGCCCCGGCUAACUUCGUGCCAGCAGCCGCGGUAAUACGAGGGGGGCGAGCGUUGUUCGGAAUUAUUGGGCGUAAAGGGUCCGUAGGCGGUUUGGUAAGUCUGAUGUGAAAUCUAUGGGCUCAACUCAUAGUCUGCAUCGGAAACUGCCGGGCUUGAGUAUGGGAGAGGUGAGUGGAAUUCCUGGUGUAGCGGUGAAAUGCGUAGAUAUCAGGAGGAACACCUGUGGCGAAAGCGGCUCACUGGACCAUAACUGACGCUGAUGCACGAAAGCUAGGGGAGCAAACAGGAUUAGAUACCCUGGUAGUCCUAGCCCUAAACGAUGACUGCUUGGUGUGACGGGUACCCAAUCCCGCCGUGCCGUAGCUAACGCGUUAAGCAGUCCGCCUG
rnacentral:rRNA from 1 species